GACAGAGGGUGCAAACGUUGCUCGGAAUCACUGGGCGUAAAGGGCGUGUAGGCGGGAAGGUAAGUCGGGCGUGAAAUCCCUGAGCUCAACUCAGGAACUGCACUCGAAACUACUUUUCUUGAGUGCCGGAGAGGAAAGCGGAAUUCCUGGUGUAGAGGUGAAAUUCGUAGAUAUCAGGAGGAACACCGAUAGCGAAGGCAGCUCGCUGGGACGGUACUGACGCUGAGGCGCGAAAGCGUGGGGAGCGAACAGG
rnacentral:rRNA from 1 species